rnacentral:rRNA from 1 species
UACGGAGGGUGCAAGCGUUGUUCGGAAUCACUGGGCGUAAAGGGCGUGUAGGCGGUCCGCUAAGUCUGAUGUGAAAGCCCGAGGCUUACCCUCGGAAGUGCAUUGGAGACUGGCGGACUGGAGUCCCGGAGAGGAGGGUGGAAUUCCUGGUGUAGCGGUGAAAUGCGUAGAUAUCAGGAGGAACACCGGUGGCGAAGGCGGCUCUCUGGACCACAACUGACGCUGAGGCGCGAAAGCUAGGGGAGCAAACAGG